GAGUCCGCGGCCCAUUAGCUAGUUGGCGGGGUAAUGGCCCACCAAGGCUACGAUGGGUAGCUGGUCUGAGAGGAUGAUCAGCCACACUGGAACUGGGACACGGUCCAGACUCCUACGGGAGGCAGCAGUGGGGAAUUUUGCGCAAUGGGGGAAAGCCUGACGCAGCGACGCCGCGUGAGUGAUGAAGGCCUUCGGGUCGUAAAGCU
rnacentral:rRNA from 1 species